rnacentral:rRNA from 1 species
AGAGUUUGAUCCUGGCUCAGGAUGAACGCUGGCGGCGUGCUUAACACAUGCAAGUCGAACGAUGAUGCUGGUGCUUGCACUGGUGGAUUAGUGGCGAACGGGUGAGUAACACGUGAGUAACCUGCCCCUGACUUCGGGAUAAGCCCGGGAAACUGGGUCUAAUACCGGAUAUGACUUCCUGCUGCAUGGCAGGGGGUGGAAAGAUUUAUCGGUUGGGGAUGGACUCGCGGCCUAUCAGCUUGUUGGUGAGGUAAUGGCUCACCAAGGCGACGACGGGUAGCCGGCCUGAGAGGGUGACCGGCCACACUGGGACUGAGACACGGCCCAGACUCCUACGGGAGGCAGCAGUGGGGAAUAUUGCACAAUGGGCGAAAGCCUGAUGCAGCGACGCCGCGUGAGGGAUGACGGCCUUCGGGUUGUAAACCUCUUUCAGUAGGGAAGAAGCCCCUUUUGGGGGUGACGGUACUUGCAGAAGAAGCGCCGGCUAACUACGUGCCAGCAGCCGCGGUAAUACGUAGGGCGCAAGCGUUAUCCGGAAUUAUUGGGCGUAAAGAGCUCGUAGGCGGUUUGUCGCGUCUGCCGUGAAAGUCCGAGGCUCAACCUCGGAUCUGCGGUGGGUACGGGCAGACUAGAGUGAUGUAGGGGAGACUGGAAUUCCUGGUGUAGCGGUGAAAUGCGCAGAUAUCAGGAGGAACACCGAUGGCGAAGGCAGGUCUCUGGGCAUUUACUGACGCUGAGGAGCGAAAGCAUGGGGAGCGAACAGGAUUAGAUACUCUGGUAGUCAAGGGCGAAUUCGUUUAA